CUGAACCAGCCAAGUAGCGUGAAGGAUGAAGGUCCUACGGAUUGUAAACUUCUUUUAUACGGGAAUAAAGUAUCCUACGUGUAGGAUUUUGUAUGUACCGUAUGAAUAAGCAUCGGCUAACUCCGUGCCAGCAGCCGCGGUAAUACGGAGGAUGCGAGCGUUAUCCGGAUUUACUGGGUUUAAAGGGAGCGCAGACGGGAGAUUAAGUCAGUUGUGAAAGUUUGCGG
rnacentral:rRNA from 1 species